UCAAGCACAAAUGUAACAAGGAGCAAUGUUCGGUGCAAAUUCCGACAGCGGCGAAGAUGGACUGUUGUCUGGAGAAUCAGAAAUACCCAGGCACAUCAGAAAGGUUGUCCACUUCUGAAGAAACAUCAACAGUUCAGAAGAAUGUUUAAUGAGCGCCAAAAAGAGGAUCAUAUGUGUACUUCUCAACAAGUUGCUGCCUUGGAAGUCACAAGUCACGAGAAGAAAGAAUUUAUAAUAAGUUGCUGCUUCAAGAUCAAAAAUCAAGAGUGUACAAGAAACAAGCUUUAACGCAAAGGUCAGAAGUCGAGAUUUGCUCAU